GCUAUCUUGGCCGAGUGGUCUAAGGCGGUAGAUUUAAGUCAUUUCCAUGCAUAAACUCUACUAUCGAAAGAUUCGCAGGUUCGAACCCUGCAGAUAGCA